rnacentral:sRNA from 1 species
UGAUGCAGCUAACCAAGACAAGACAAUACCGUGUGUCCUGUCCAAAAUGCAACAGAUCAAUGCCACUCAGUGCACUCAGGAAGACAGAAUGCUACUCAUGGGCAAAGGUUCCCAGCUUCUUGGAUUUAUGGAGGGAGUCUGUGGAAAACCUUGAGAAACAGAGAC